rnacentral:lncRNA from 1 species
GCAUUUUGCAGACUUCAUCGGAGGCUGGCUGAAACCUGUAUGAAACGUCUGAUGGAGAAGGAGCAGAACAGAUCUUUACUCCAAACAUUUACUACAAGUCCUGUCCUGGAGCCACCUGGUGCUGAAAAUAUUCAUAAUAGCUCCGUGUUCAGAAGAAAUCUUACAACAAGAGAAACCUUAACACUUUCUACCUCAUGUUCAGGCACUUCAUUUGACAGCAUUGUGACUGCUUUGAUGAAGAGUCAGUGGGAGAUGGAAGAAAAUAUGAAUAAAGAACUAGCAGAAGCCACUGCCGAACUUGAUUUUGUAUACCUGAGAGCCUCUCUACUGAGAUCUACCAAAGACCUUUUGAAAACAUCACACAGCCAUAUGUACAGAUUCUGAAGAAAACUUAUAUUGUCUGAAAAAUAAAGAGUAAAACUAUCUACUGGACAGUUAACAUAAUGUCUUUGUUGGUUCCUAUUAAACAUGUUGUAGAAAUCCUUAUUGAAGGAAAUAUUGUUGUAUCAUAUGUGUAAGAGAAUUUAUAUAGUAUUUUCAAUCAUUUUUCUUUGUAUCUAACUUUUAAGUAGAUUUCGUGAAUACAAGCCAGCCCUAUUGAGUUUUUCAUUCUCCAACUGAGGCCAGAUACCAGUUAUUUAAUGA